GACGAACGCUCGCGGCGCGCUUAACACAUGCAAGUCGAACGGAAAGGCCCUGCUUUUGUGGGGUGCUCGAGUGGCGAACGGGUGAGUAACACGUGAGUAACCUGCCCUUGACUUUGGGAUAACUUCAGGAAACUGGGGCUAAUACCGGAUAGGAGCUCCUGCUGCAUGGUGGGGGUUGGAAAGUUUCGGCGGUUGGGGAUGGACUCGCGGCUUAUCAGCUUGUUGGUGGGGUAGUGGCUUACCAAGGCUUUGACGGGUAGCCGGCCUGAGAGGGUGACCGGCCACAUUGGGGCUGAGAUACGGCCCAGAAUUCUAAGGGAGGCAGCCAUGGGGAAUAUUGCACAAUGGGCGGAAGCCUGAUGCAGCAACGCCGCGUGCGGGAUGACGGCCUUCGGGUUGUAAACCGCUUUCGCCUGUGACGAAGCGUGAGUGACGGUAAUGGGUAAAGAAGCACCGGCUAACUACGUG
rnacentral:rRNA from 1 species